UGGGGAAUAUUGCACAAUGGGCGCAAGCCUGAUGCAGCCAUGCCGCGUGUGUGAAGAAGGCCUUCGGGUUGUAAAGCACUUUCAGCGAGGAGGAAGGUGGUGAGCUUAAUACGCUCAUCAAUUGACGUUACUCGCAGAAGAAGCACCGGCUAACUCCGUGCCAGCAGCCGCGGUAAUACGGAGGGUGCAAGCGUUAAUCGGAAUUACUGGGCGUAAAGCGCACGCAGGCGGUUUGUUAAGUCAGAUGUGAAAUCCCCGGGCUCAACCUGGGAACUGCAUUUGAAACUGGCAAGCUAGAGUCUCGUAGAGGGGGGUAGAAUUCCAGGUGUAGCGGUGAAAUGCGUAGAGAUCUGGAGGAAUACCGGUGGCGAAGGCGGCCCCCUGGACGAAGACUGACGCUCAGGUGCGAAAGCGUGGGGCAGCAAACAGGAUUAGAUACCCUGGUAGUCCAGCGCUGUAAAACGAUGUCGAUUUGGAGGUUGUGCCCUUGAGGCGUGGCUUCCGGAGCUAACGCGUUAAAUCGACCGCCUGGGGAGUACGGCCGCAAGGUUAAAACUCAAAUGAAUUGAC
rnacentral:rRNA from 1 species